UACGAAGGGGGCUAGCGUUGCUCGGAAUCACUGGGCGUAAAGGGUGCGUAGGCGGGUCUUUAAGUCAGGGGUGAAAUCCUGAAGCUCAACUCCAGAACUGCCUUUGAUACUGAGGAUCUUGAGUUCGGGAGAGGUGAGUGGAACUGCGAGUGUAGAGGUGAAAUUCGUAGAUAUUCGCAAGAACACCAGUGGCGAAGGCGGCGCUCUGGACCGAGACUGACGCUGAGGCGCGAAAGCGUGGGGAGCAAACAGG
rnacentral:rRNA from 1 species